AGAGUUUGAUCAUGGCUCAGGAUGAACGCUGGCGGCGUGCCUAAUACAUGCAAGUCGAGCGGUAAGGCUUUCACUCUGUAUUUAAUGAGUUGAAUAUAGUGUGGAAGUACACGAGCGGCGGACGGCUGAGUAACGCGUAGGAACGUACCCCAAAGUGAGGGAUAAGCACCGGAAACGGUGUCUAAUACCGCAUGUGAUCUUCGGAUUAAAGCUUUAUGCGCUUUGGGAGCGGCUGCGUAAGAUUAGUUGUUGGUGAGGUAAUGGCUCACCAAGACUACGAUCUUUAGCUGGUCUGAGAGGAUGAUCAGCCAGACUGGGACUGAGACACGGCCCAGACUCCUACGGGAGGCAGCAGUAGGGAAUUUCCACAAUGGACGAAAGUCUGAUGGAGCAACGCCGCGUGCAGGAUGAAGGCCUUCGGGUUGUAAACUGCUUUUAUCUGUGACGAUUAUGACGGUAGCAGAUGAAUAAGGAUCGGCUAACUCCGUG
rnacentral:rRNA from 1 species